rnacentral:rRNA from 1 species
CUGGAGGUAUCAGAAGUGCGAAUGCUGACAUAAGUAACGAUAAAGCGGGUGAAAAGCCCGCUCGCCGGAAGACCAAGGGUUCCUGUCCAACGUUAAUCGGGGCAGGGUGAGUCGACCCCUAAGGCGAGGCCGAAAGGCGUAGUCGAUGGGAAACAGGUUAAUAUUCCUGUACUUGGUGUUACUGCGAAGGGGGGACGGAGAAGGCUAUGUUGGCCGGGCGACGGUUGUCCCGGUUUAAGCGUGUAGGCUGGUUUUCCAGGCAAAUCCGGAAAAUCAAGGCUGAGGCGUGAUGACGAGGCACUACGGUGCUGAAGCAACAAAUGCCCUGCUUCCAGGAAAAGCCUCUAAGCAUCAGGUAACAUCAAAUCGUACCCCAAACCGACACAGGUGGUCAGGUAGAGAAUACCAAGGCGCUUGAGAGAACUCGGGUGAAGGAACUAGGCAAAAUGGUGCCGUAACUUCGGGAGAAGGCACGCUGAUAUGUAGGUGAAGUCCCUCGCGGAUGGAGCUGAAAUCAGUCGAAGAUACCAGCUGGCUGCAACUGUUUAUUAAAAACACAGCACUGUGCAAACACGAAAGUGGACGUAUACGGUGUGACGCCUGCCCGGUGCCGGAAGGUUAAUUGAUGGGGUUAGCCGCA